GAUUACCGAGAAGCCAUGAGGGUGCCCUGAAGGAGACGAGGCGGGGCAGGGCGGGUCGGUCGCUGCUGUGCCGCUUCUGCGCCGCUGUUCCCGCCCCGCACACGGGAGUGGUUUCCCGCCGCUCCCCUCAGCCGCCAAGUCCCGCUCCUCCCGCGGUCCGUGGGGCGGGCGCAGGCCAAAGGCGCUUUGAGAAGCUCGGUAAAUGGUUGUGGAGUCGCCCUAGGGCAGGGUUCGGGCUGUUACACAGGAGCCGUCCGAGAAGAAACCAGAGGCACGGAGUGGGACAGCGAGGCAAGAGUGGGCAAGAAGAGCAGUGGCUUCGACCUGAAGAGGGGGCAUGAGAAAGGCCCUCUGGGCAAAGGGCAUCCCUGGCAUCCCCGGGGAAGGGAUACCUAAGAGUCCGGUGGGCACCUUCAGGCUGCCCCAGCCGGCUUAGCGCUGGGCAACCUCCCUGUGGGCAGGGCUGGGUCUUUGCAUUGCUUGUCGUUGGCCUUUUGUGGUCGUGCUCCUGUGGCUGCCCGGAGAGAGGGUCAAGCACCCUGCAAGGAGGGUGAGAGCCCCCGUCUCCGCACCCGAGGGGGGAAACAGAGCUCUCCCGACCCCCAGCCCACCCUGUAAGCAGGGCAGGGCUUUUUCCCUUGGCACCUUGGUGCCUGCUGGUGGCCCCUGGCCAGAGUGACCCCCUGUAGUCGGGGUGCGUCACAGCCUUUGUGCCUUGGCCAGCUGUCAUACCCUAGUAAAAGUAUUUUUUUACUUUUAUUUUAAUUUCUAUUUUUAUUUUUUAUUCUUAAUUUUUUUGAAUUGUAGUUUAUUUUUUCUAUUUUUUUUAAAUUUUAUGUUAUUAUUUAUUUGUAUUUUCAGGGGUUUAAAUUUUUUUUUAAUUUUGUAAUUUUGAAAUUCUAUAAUUUUUUUAUUUUUUAAUUUAAGUUCUACAAGUUUUUAUUUAUUUUUAGGGGUUUUUUCCCCACCUAAGGAAUCUUUGAGAAAUGAAAAACUAGAGGUAAAAGUUUUAGGAAAGCCAUUAUAAGAAACUGUACCAUAAGGUAGAAGAAAAGAAAGGAAAAGGAUCGGGGGAGUGCCUCUGUGUGUAUCACUUUCAG